GAGAAGGGCCGCCCUGACCGGCUGGAGCCGCCUGAGGCGGGGGAUGUCGGCAGAGUGGGGCUGGAGGGAUCUCGGAGAGCCUUCUCCAAACCCUCAACAAAAAAAUGCCCCCUCACUCAGGACCCCGGAAAAGUCAAGCGGCAGGAGUUUGAGGCCCAAGUUAAACAGUGACCAGUAUGCUCAGCAGCAGAGGAAGGAAGGCGUCUACAGCAAAUUGGUUCUGUGGCUGUCAUGAGCAGAUUGUCCAGGCCCCAGACAUUGCCUUUUGUUCCAUUCCAUUAUCUGAGAACAACUCGGACUUCGAAUCUGAAGGCCCUGAAUUAGGACUGGCCAGCACCAUGAGAACACCAGGAAGCUGUGCCUGGAUUUCACUGUGGUGGCAGGGCAUGUUCAACACAAAUCCAUGCCUUGAAAGCUUCAGCAACUUUCUCACAGGGGAGAAAAAUGGAUCCCAUCUUACAGUGAGGCCAAAGAGCAUCCCUCCCUUCCUCUCUUCCUCCCUCCCUGAAUUGCUCUCCUGAUUUGUGUAUUUUAACUUGUGCUUCUAUUUCAAAAUCUGCAUAUUUUAGUAAUUUUAAGUAUUUCUAAAUUUAGAAAUUCAGAUAUAUAUAUAUUAAUUUUUUAAUGGAAAAAUGUGGCAAAAAUUGCCCUUUUGCCAAUGCAGAAUGGAAAAUACCAGCAUGUUUUGCAUGUGAGAUUGCUGUGAUGAUUCUAAAAUUUUGUAAUGUGUAUAGAAUUUGGUUUAGUUCAGAUGUGCUUUCCUUAAUUUUAGGGGUAUUUUCUGCUCUAUCUUUUGUCUUGGAUUGCAAUGCAAGAUGUAACUAAAAGUAUGUAUUCUAUUGCCAUCUGUUGAAACAAGGUGGGGCAGUGUUCUUUAUCUCUUCCAUGACCCAUCCCUCGUAACUGGGGGAUACCUUCUGUUAAUGGGCCAUUGAGUCGCACUGCAUGACUGAUAAAAUUACAUCAUCCCAUUGGGAGAUGCUCCACCUGGGGGAAGAAGCCAAGCAUUCCUACCUGGAUAUAAUCAGAGAAUCAGAACACCACAGCAGCCUUUCUCCAUUGGAUUCCCAGAGGAAAGAUCAGACCCAUCUACACCAUCGGAUCUUCAGAGGAAACCGACACCCUUCUACAGGGUCACUGCCUUAACAGAACCACAUCUGUCACUGCCAGAGGACUACAGCCACCAUUUAAUCAGAAUGCUGCCUACACCCUGACCAACAGGGUGUCAGGCUGUAUUCUGACUCUGUCAGUGUUUUGUUUUGUUUUUUUCUGUACUACUGCAUUUUUAUUUUAAUUUUCCUAGUAAAGAACUGUUAUUCCUAUUCCCAUAUCUUUGCCUGAGAGCCCCUUGUUGUCAAGAUUGUAAUAAUUUGGGGGUGGGGAGGUUAAAUUUUUCCAUUUCAAGGGAGGUUUCUGCCUUCCUUAGCAGACACCUGUCUUUCCAAACCAAGAAAUCUUUAAAAGGAAAGGAGAACACCUCUUCUGGAAUUCAGCUCCCAUCUCUUUAUCUGUUCAAGUGCAUUGUUAAGUGGUCUUCUGUAACUAAAAGCUGACAGUGUGUUAUUUAACUUGCAGCUUAUCUUUUUACAAUAAAAAUUGCCCCUCAUAUAUUUCUGGUUUGAUA
ensembl:lncRNA